rnacentral:rRNA from 1 species
GACGAACGCUGGCGGCGUGCUUAACACAUGCAAGUCGAACGGAAAGGCCCUGCUUUUGUGGGGUGCUCGAGUGGCGAACGGGUGAGUAACACGUGAGUAACCUGCCCCUGACUUUGGGAUAACUUCAGGAAACUGGGGCUAAUACCGGAUAGGAGCUCCUGCUGCAUGGUGGGGGUUGGAAAGUUUCGGCGGUUGGGGAUGGACUCGCGGCUUAUCAGCUUGUUGGUGGGGUAGUGGCUUACCAAGGCUUUGACGGGUAGCCGGCCUGAGAGGGUUACCGGCCACAUUGGGACUGAGAUACGGCCCAGACUCCUACGGGAGGCAGCAGUGGGGAAUAUUACACAAUGGGCGGAAGCCUGAUGCAGCAACGCCGCGUGCGGGAUGACGGCCUUCGGGUUGUAAACCGAUUUCGCCUGAGACGAAGCGUGAGUGACGGUAAUGGGUAAAGAAGCACCGGCUAACUACGUG